rnacentral:ribozyme from 1 species
UCGGUUACCUCAAUGGCCUGUUUGUUCUUGCACGAACAAUUGGUUUGAUUGGUCAUGCUAUCGACCAGAAGCGUCU